rnacentral:rRNA from 1 species
UGGCGGACGGGUGAGUAAUGUCGUGGGAAACUGCCUGAUGGAGGGGGAUAACUACUGGAAACGGUAGCUAAUACCGCAUAACGUCGCGAGACCAAAGAGGGGGACCUUCGGGCCUCUUGCCAUCGGAUGUGCCCAGAUGGGAUUAGCUAGUAGGUGGGGUAACGGCUCACCUAGGCGACGAUCCCUAGCUGGUCUGAGAGGAUGACCAGCCACACUGGAACUGAGACACGGUCCAG